UCUCUCUGUCUCUCAAUAACGAAUAAACUUUAAAAAAUUUUUAAAAAAUAAGUGGACAGCUCUUUUUCAGACUUAAAUAGAAGAUGUCAGGACAGAUGAGACCAUCAGAAAAGAGUAUAUCGACACUGACUUUCUAAACACUUACAGACCUUGUGUUGUGUUGCUAGGCCUUGUGCUGAGUCCCAGAUGCAAGAGGAAGAUACUGACCAGUCUUUAUCUUGCUCCCAGUCUGGAAGGGACACAUGACCUAUGCUCCAGAGAAGCUAAUACCCUCCAAGGUGUGCAGCGCCCAGUGAAAUCCGCAUUUUACAGCUGAGGAAAAUGAGUCUCCAAGAGAUGGAGAGACCUGCCUCCCAUCACACCAGUGCCAGCAAGCGGCAGCGGCAGCUGCGAGCCCCAGGUCUCCCUGCUCUAACCUCUGUGGGCUGUUUUUGGCCACCUGAGCUGGCGGGAGGCUGGUGGUGAGGGCCAGAGGUGCCUGGGGACUGCGGUCCUCUGGGGUGGGGAUGCCGAGAGAGGUACCACUUCAGGUUCAAGUUGCUAGUUUUGCAGGAGUAUAAAAUUACUGCACAAGUCCCAGAGAAUAAACAGAGUUAACACCCCAUUAAAUACAAUGGACUUUCUACGUGAGCUUCAGACGUGCCUAGAUUGAAACUAGCUGAGCAGGAGCUGGCCCGUGAGUAAAAUGUAUCACGCACGCUGCCUUAACACUUUCAAAAAAGAAAAAUCCAGCACAGGGAGAAGGAAGCGCCAGCAGCAGCUCUGCAGGCUCAGGGCUGAGGAUCCGGUAAUGAAGUCUUUCUGGAAGCAGCAAACCCGACCCUGGACCCCCAGCCUGGGACCCACUGCCGUGUUGCUGCCUUGGCAGGAGGUGAGCAGAGGAGGCGGCAGCUCGGUCUCAGCUUGCAAACUGAGCCCGUCUCUCUUGGCUGUGCCAGCUCCGGAGGCCCCUCAGAGAUGCCAGUAUGCCUGAGUGGGAGCAGUUGCAACUUCCCCUGGGCUGGAAGCCUUGGGAGCCAGCAAGGCCUCGGGAAGCUGCAUUCUUGGGCAAGGGCGUGGCCAGAGGACUGCUGAUCGGAGGCGGGAGGUCUCUUCUUGGGCAAGCUGCCCUCAUUGUCUCGCCUCGCCUGGGCCUGCUGGCCAGGUUCACGGGCAGGAGCAGCACCACUGUUCCUCACCUUCUCCGGAACAGGACCAGCGGAUGCUGUAGGAGGCUGGGGUUUCAUUAUAAAUCCUCUUCAUUUCUGGCUCGCUCACAACCACGAAACAUAAAGAGAGCCAGCUAGACGGAGGGAAGCCAGCCCCUUGCAGAUUCAACGUUUGAAUAGGCAGGAGCUUCAGGCCCUCUUCACACCAGCGCGGGUCGGCUGUGGAUUUUAACAGAGCUGCAGGCUUUCUCGAGCCCCCAGGUCCCUCCCAAUUGUCAUGGUGCUUCCUGGCCGGGACAGCAGAGGGCGCUGGCUCUCCCGACAGCUUACUGUCACAGGCGGCGCUCCCACACAUCUGGAAAUGGGCUCUUCCACUCUUACGAAAUGUUGGACAAGGAUCUGUCCGUGUGAGAUGUGCUGGCACCGAGUGAGCAAGCAAGCAUACACAUCAAGAAUUCCACUUUCUCAUUAGUUCAGUUUCUCCCUCAAGAGCACUGGUGGAAUGUGGGGAAUUUGCCUUGCCAGAGCAGCCUGCACAUUGGAGUCUUGGGCUCGGUUCAGCCUGGGUGGAAUGCUUGGAGGGACCACCUCUGGUCUGAAGCCUUUGCCCUUCCCUCCCACGUGGAGGGGGGAAAAGAAAACAGAAGAGCAGGACCUCCCAGAUCUUUCCCCCAGGGGAAGAAAGCUAAGAAUGUUUGGCCUUGCCCCUGUGGGCCUCCUGAGGAGAGCAAAUGCCCACAUUUCCAGGUCCUUGAGAAACAAGAUCUAAUUCUAAGAAAGCAUUCCCAAAUUACAAGCGAUUAGAAAUGCCAAUGACAUAUGCAAACAAUGGAGCUGGGAGAGGAGAGACUGCCCGGAGGAAGGCAGAGCUGGAGCCAGGGAAGGGACCUGGUUGCUAUUCCCAGAAUGCUCCCUAGACUUCUACAAGCCGCAUGCAUUUAAAUGUCCACAUUUUCCCCGCAGAAGCCAGCAAUCUGUACUUCUCUUGGCCAAACAACACAUCAGUCUAAUAUGGUGUUGGAGAAACGCAUUACAUUCUUUUAUGAACAGAAUGUUAACAUCACCUAGAAUCAAUAUUUAUAUCCAAGAACACAAGGAACUGGCUUGUUUUGUGCUGCGGCAGGUUUAAGAAAGGGACAUCCGGGGGUUGCUGGAAGUUCCCCUUGCUCCUACCCAGAAAGGCAUGGCCCAUGGCUCUGGCAUCCAAAGGGUUUCCACCUCGAGACCCUGCAAUCCUGGGAUUGCGAGAGGAAGCCAGAAGCAGCAAGUGGGGCAGGACUUCACAGUGAGGUCCAGGGCGGGAGACAAUAUCCUGUGACAGUUUGGGGGAAGGAGGUUCAGACUUGUAUCCUGGCACUUUUCCUAUUGCAUAUCAAAGUGAGAGCAGACACAGCUUAACAUAAAUCUUAACACGAGAGACUUCUGGGGGCUUGGAAAGCAAGGGACGGGGUGAGAUGACACUUUCUCUUUCACACUGGUGAGGUUUUUUUGGCCAGGCAAUUACCUUCAUCUGAGCCAGCCAUUGUGACAGUGAAGGAAGCCAAGUCUCCUCCCCUCAGAAUGCUGUGUAUUCCUCCAGAGGUUUUUGGGAAACUCCAUCAAGCUCCUUAGGCUGUUUUGUUCCUUAAUGCUGUUUUUAUUUUACUGCCUUUAGAAGCCUCUGGGCCUGCAGCCUGGAGUCAGUGCCUUGCUCCUUCUUACAUGAUUUCACUUUUGCCUGCACCAGAGCAUCUAAAAUUGUGAACGUCUUCUUCAUCUCUUGGACUGAAUUGGGGCCUCAUUUUGCAGAGCAAGCAGGCCCCACUUGGUUCCCAAAUGAGAUGCUGAAGGUUACCCCUUUCAACAGUAGCACUUGUCUCUCAUUAAAUGCCUGGAGCUCAUUAUGGUAUUACCUGCAGAAAAGUCUCUACGGCUUUAAUAGGCAUGAUCUUUAGAAAAGAUCCUUUGGCUUAUGUAUAAGACCAAGACAUGAUUAAUCUUGGCCCCAUUUAGCUGGGGUCAGAUCUUCAGUCUACAGUGAAUCCUCUUCUCGGCAUAAUCACAAUUUACAAUUUUCUAAAAUUUACAGCCCUUUCCCCUGUGUCGUUAGCAUGUUUAGUUGUUGCAAUUCACUUGAUCGGUCCUGUUAUUUUCAUCCAGUUCUGAGAAACAAUCAGUAAAUAUGCCAGUCAUACUUGCUAUAAACUCAGCCAUGAUAUACAGACAAUAUUUCACUGUAAGCCAUGUGGAUGUUUAGCAUCUUUACAGAUGCAAAGCUCCCCCUGCAGAAAUCCCAUGCAAGAAACCUGUACUAGUUAAAUGCUCUGAACACCUUUAGAGAUACUGCCUGAUUUAAGCCAACCAGAAAGUGGCACGUGGGUCCAGAUGCUGUUCUGGUGUCAUGGGCAGAACCAAAGAAUAGUCAAAGUUGAUAGGAGGGUCAAGGAUCAAAGAGUGAAAUCUUUAGUCAGGAUGGUGUGACUUUUUGCCUGUAGAGCAGUGCCAGAAUCUGAGAGGAAGGGGCUGACACUAGGGCCUCCUUACGGGUCUUUAGUAAAUGUCACCUCAAGUCCAGACCUAUCUUUUAAGCUUUAGAAUUGUCAAUAUAAAUACUUAUUUAACACCUACCCUCCUGCAUCUGAACUGAACGUGGCCGCAAAGACCUCUGAUUUGUGGACACUCCUGCCUGUUCCAGUCUGCUCCUCCCCCAGGCUUUCCAUCCCAAGAAAUGGCGCCCCUAUGGAUCUGUUUGAGAUUCCUGCACAGCUGCUCUCUCUCCUCCCUCCUUCCCACCUCUAGCUGUCACUCAUCUUGUCCAUUCUACUGCCCACUGAGCUUCAUGGCAUCCUCUCCUCCCAUCCCUUCUUUUUUCAAGUCCCAUCUUGAGGGUCACUUCCUAGAGAGGCUUUCCCUGACCCCACAGUCUAAAACAGGUCCCUACUCCCUGCCAGCACACUCUCGAGAACCACCACUCUCUUCCUGCAUUUGAUCCCCGCAGUUAAUAUCCUAUGGACUCAGCUUUUCUUAUUCAUGUUUCCUCCACUAGACUGUAAGGUCCGCAAAAGCAAGAACCAUUCUGUUCUGUUGAGCCUGCCACGGAGGGUAGUAAAUAUAGGCUGAACUACUUAAUGAAAUUAUACUGCAAUCUGGGCAGCUGCUGAGAGGGGGUAUGAUGCUACUUUAAAGGUUUAUGCCUUCCUGAUGAACCUGUCUGGCCAGACCCCAUGUUACUCCCAAAUUCCUCUUUGAGGAGUCCCUCACUGAGGGUUGGGAGAAACCGAGUCAAAUUCCCAAAUGUCUCUCUAAUCUGCUCCUUCACCAUUUCUACUACAGACUCUUCUUACUUUUGGCCUGAGUGUUUUAACAGUUUCCUAAUCAGCCUCUCUCCUUACUGCUUUGAAUUCAGGAGUCCAGCAAGGACUAAGAACUGCAAACAUGAACAGGGGGAAAUGCUUCUUGACUUUCAUAAACCUCUAACUGAAAUUGUGCACUUUGAUUUUAAAUGUGGGCAACAAACCCCAGCAGGACCUGUGAGUUUGCCCCCAACAGAAUCACAUAUGUUUUUACAUCACAUUACAGCUGUUGCAGAUAUUGAAAUACAAUUUCUGGCCAUUAGUGUUUUAAAGUUACGGUAGUUAUUAGAGCUGCUGCUAGAUUAUAUUAUUUAAUCCUUUAUUAAGAAAUACAAAUAUUCUGGGGUGCUUGGGUUGAGCGUCUGGCUUCAGCUCAGAUCUCACAGCUCAUGAGUUCGA